ACACCGGCUCCAGUCCAGAUCGGAUUACACGUGAAGAUCAGAUGAAUCCUCCACACCAGAGUGGGAGCGGGACCCCCUCCGGCCGGAAGUUGUGAAGCACAACUCUGGUUCCGUGGAUCCAUCCGCAGCGUCGCACACACCCACCGCGGCGGUGGUGAUGAUGAAGAUGAUGAUGCAGGACCCCGCACUCGGCUCUCCCCGCUAGGAUGGUGCACAACGGCGGGGUCUUCCCGCCUCCGGCCGGGGAGAAGAAGCACAAGGUGGGGUUCGUGGGCUUGGACCCGGGAGCCCCGGAGUCCAGCCGUGACGGGGCGCUGCUCAUCGCCGGCGGCUCCGAGAAGCGGGGCAGCAUCCUGUGCAGACCCAGACCCAGCAUCUCUGCCGGCAGACCCCGAGCCUCCAAGAAGAGCGCCAGCUACCGGAGGCUGCAGAAUUUCCUCUACAAUGCACUGGAGCGGCCGCGCGGAUGGGCGUUCGUCUACCACGCUUACGUCUUCCUCCUGGUCUUCUCCUGUCUCAUCCUCUCCGUCUUUGCCACCAUCAAAGAGUUCAAGAACAACUCAGAGAGUGCCUUGUACAUCCUGGAAAUCGUGACCAUCGUGGUGUUCGGGGUGGAGUACAUUGUGAGAAUAUGGGCCGCCGGCUGCUGCUGUCGCUACAGGGGAUGGAGGGGCCGACUGAAGUUUGCCAGAAAGCCUUUUUGUGUCAUAGACAUCAUGGUGCUGAUUGCCUCCGUCUCCGUGCUAGCGGCCGGCUCUCAAGGGAACGUGUUUGCCACCUCAGCAAUCCGGAGUCUGAGGUUCCUGCAGAUCCUUCGUAUGCUGCGAAUGGACCGUCGGGGAGGCACUUGGAAGCUGCUGGGGUCUGUGGUUUACGCUCACAGCAAGGAGCUGAUCACGGCGUGGUACAUCGGGUUCCUGUGUCUCAUCCUGGCCUCUUUCCUGGUCUACUCAGUGGAGAAGGAGUCCAACAGCGAAUUCGAGACGUACGCUGACGCCCUGUGGUGGGGCCUGAUCACGCUGACCACCAUUGGGUACGGUGACAAAGUGCCCCAGACGUGGAACGGACGGCUGCUGGCCGCCACCUUCAGCAUGAUCGGCGUGGCCUUCUUCGCACUUCCCGCUGGAAUCCUGGGUUCUGGCUUUGCCCUGAAGGUCCAAGAGCAGCACAGACAAAAGCACUUUGAGAAGAGACGUAACCCCGCAGCCGGACUGGUGCAGGCGGCGUGGAGGUUCUACGCCACCAACCUUUCCCGCACCGACCUGAUGUCAACCUGGGACUUCUACGAGCAAACGGUGGCUGUUCCCAUGUACAGGAUUAUUCCUCCUCUCAAUCAACUGGACCUGCUGCGAAACCUGAAGGGCAAGUCGUUCAGGAAAGAGUCACAGGCGGAAACGUCGCCCAGUCGGAAGCCGAGUCUGAAGGACAAGGUGUUCCCGAGUCCCUCCAAGCCUCCAGCAGUCAAAAGCAGAGCCCAGUCUCCCGGGACUGAGGAGGCGGCUGAAGCCAGUCCCGGCAAGGUCAGCAAGAGUUGGAGCUUCAACGAGAAGAACCGAGGACCCAAACACGCCUUCAGAGUCCGGGGCAGCGCAGCGCGGCAGAACUCAGAGGCAAUUGAAGGUUUAAUAAAGGCCAGUCUCCCUGGAGAGGAAAUCGGUGACGAUAAAAGUUGCCACUGCGAGUUUCUAACCCAGGAAUUACCAGCCGGGCUCAAGGUCGCUAUCCGGGCCAUCUGCAUCAUGAAGUUCCUGGUGUCCAAGCGGCGGUUCAAAGAGUGCCUGCGGCCGUAUGAUGUCAUGGAUGUGAUCGAGCAGUACUCUGCCGGUCACCUGGACAUGCUGUCCCGCAUUAAGAACCUGCAAUCCAGUGGUCAGGAAACAACAGCAGGUAGUUCUCCAGGAGCCCUCCUGACCAGAGCCACCUCAACUGGCUCCUGUGUGGAGCACCAGAUGUCCUGCUGUGAGUCUAUCUGGAUGAGUGUCAGUCUCCCUGGCAGCUGGGGGAACCCAUGUCUGUCCUGGUCAUGUCCUGCCAGUCACUACAAAGCUGAACAGAGACAAGAGAAGAAGUGCAUCCAAGUCAGGAAGUGAGAAUUGAGGAGAUGAGGCCUGUGAUGGGAGAUCAUCAUGAGAAGGCAAUGGGUGUGGGCGGAUAGAUAUGAUUGUGGGGCCCCCUCCCCCAUCUACACCUCGCCAUAAGAAGUCCACUGAAGGUCCUAGGUUAGCGUUAUACUGCACCCGUAGACCGACCUUUCCUCCAAGCUUGUUAUGGAUGGAACCCCUGAUGAGAGCUGGUCACAUGACCCUCUUCAAAUGAUGCAAUGCAUUUCUGCAAGACUUUAACAAUGCUUCCCAUAACAUUAUGACUGCCUACUUCGUCUCAUCAGUACCUAACCAUUGACAGGGUCUUGGGCUGUCCUGGGUCGCUGAUGGGCAGCUCCAGUAAACAGUGGCAGUGUUUUUUCCUUGCACUGGUUCUUGGACUGAUCCGUCCACGACAGUGGUGGUCAUAAUAUUAUGAGCGAUGUGAGUGAUGUGGCUCCACUCACCAGGGGUUUAGGUGCUGGAUGCUUGGAAAGUCAGAGGGAGUGCUCCCCCUGUAGGACUUGAUGGAAAUGAAAGCAUGAACGCAUGAAGUGAAGUGAUGCAUUUUGAGUCUAGGUCACGCCAUCACCUCCCCCCCAUCACUCACUGGUCUAACUGUGCAUGUGGUGCUCUGACACAGCUCAUGACGAUUUCACUCCUUCAUUCUCUGAUGUCUGAUGGAACAGAGCGAGUUACUGCUGGGUGGUUCAGAGAGACUUUGAGUCACCUGUGGCUGAACUGUGACAUGGUUCUGCCGCAGUUCAUUUAAAUGGAUGCUUUUAUUCACAACAUCUUCAUUGAUGACAUAAAUGUAGUGUUGAACUGUGUCUUGGUGGAACCACCCAGCACUAGUGAUGCUGACACAACUAUCUCUGGCCACUACCAUGUCUUGAGUGAAAUAUGCCCUGCAGCCAGUGGAAUUUUAAAGUCCCUCUCACACUGAUCCAGGUUCAGUCUCUUGUUCUCCCUUUCCUUGGCUGUUCUCUCCAUCUGCUGGCCAUGAACUCAUUUCUAAUGAAGGUGAGAGGAGCGGGAGAAGCUGCUUGUUGGCUUCUGUCCCAGCAGUAGUGUUGCUCACUGCUGCACUGAACACAUAUUCUGAGGACCAGUCUCCCUGAUAUUUCAAACUUCAGAAUAUCAAUUGAAAGGAACCUUUUUUUUCCACUGGCUGCGGAAUACACAGAGCUUCGUUGAAGGUCCUCUGUGGAGUUCACGACAGUAAAAUCAAUGCCCGAAAACAGAUGUGUUUUUCUCAGCCUAAAGUUAGGAAGCACCUGACAUCAGAUCACAUUUCUGCUGUGCAUUCGGCUUCUGGUCAAACUCCACACAGCACCUCGGAUACCACACUCAUGACUCGUAACUUUGCCUUGUCCAUGUCGAACACCAGAGUGGACCAGAUAGUUGGUAAAGGUGCUAAAGUGGAGGGAGAUUUGACAGAGGACCAGAGUAUGAUGGGACGUCUGGUUAAAGUGGAGAAGCAGGUGCUCUGCAUGGACCGAAAGCUGGACUUCCUGGUGCACGUAUACAUUCAGCGUAUGGGGAUCC